AGGACGAACGCUGGCGGCGUGCUUAACACAUGCAAGUGGAGCGACGAACCCUUCGGGGGGCAAAGCCGCGAACGGGUGAGUAACACGUGGGUAACCUGCCCCGAUGACUGGGACAACCCGGGGAAACCCGGGCUAAUACCGGAUGUGGUGUUCACACUCAAGUGUGAUUAUCAAAGGUAGCUUCGGCUUCCGCAUCGGGAGGGGCCCGCGGCCCAUUAGCUUGUUGGUGAGGUAACGGCUCACCAAGGCUGCGAUGGGUAGCUGGUCUGAGAGGACGAUCAGCCACACUGGGACUGAGACACGGCCCAGACUCCUACGGGAGGCAGCAGUGGGGAAUCUUGCGCAAUGGGCGAAAGCCUGACGCAGCAACGCCGCGUGGGGGAUGAAUGCCUUCGGGUUGUAAACCCCUUUCAGCAGGAACGAAUCUGACGGUACCUGCAGAAGAAGGUCCGGCCAACUACGUGCCAGCAGCCGC
rnacentral:rRNA from 1 species